GUAGGUGGCAAGCGUUGUCCAGAAUUAUUGGGGCGUAAAGCGCGCGCAGGCGGUUCUUUAAGUCUGAUGUGAAAGCCCACGGGCUCAACCGUGGAGGGUCAUUGGAAACUGGAGAACUUGAGUACAGAAGAGGAAAGCGGGAUUCCACGUGUAGCGGUGAAAUGCGUAGAGAUGUGGAGGAACACCAGUGGCGAAGGCGGCUUUCUGGUCUGUAACUGACGCUGAGGCGCGAAAGCGUGGGGAGCAAACAGGAUUAGAUACCCUGGUAGUCCACGCCGUAAACGAUGAGUGCUAAGUGUUAGGGGGUUUCCGCCCCUUAGUGCUGCAGCUAACGCAUUAAGCACUCCGCCUGGGGAGUACGGCCGCAAAGGCUG
rnacentral:rRNA from 1 species